rnacentral:rRNA from 1 species
UGGGGGAUAUUGCACAAUGGGCGAAAGCCUGAUGCAGCGACGCCGCGUGGGGGAUGAAGGCCUUCGGGUUGUAAACUUCUUUUGCUCUGAACAAGGCGCACCAUGGGGUGUGUUGAGUGUAGGGGUUGAUUAGCGCCGGCUAACUACGUGCCAGCAGCCGCGGUAAUACGUAGGGCGCGAGCGUUGUCCGGAAUUAUUGGGCGUAAAGGGCUUGUAGGUGGCUGGUUGCGUCUGUCGUGAAAGCUCAUGGCUUAACUGUGGGUUUGCGGUGGGUACGGGCUGGCUUGAGUGCAGUAGGGGAGGCUGGAAUUCCUGUUGUAGCGGUGGAAUGCGCAGAUAUCAGGAGGAAUACCGGUGGCGAAGGCGGGUCUCUGGGCUGUUACUGACACUGAGGAGCGAAAGCAUGGGGAGCGAACAGG